rnacentral:rRNA from 1 species
UAGGGAAUCUUCGGCAAUGGGGGGAACCCUGACCGAGCAACGCCGCGUGAGUGAAGAAGGUUUUCGGAUCGUAAAGCUCUGUUGUUAAGGAAGAACGAGUGUGAGAAUGGAAAGUUCAUACUGUGACGGUACUUAACCAGAAAGGGACGGCUAACUACGUGCCAGCAGCCGCGGUAAUACGUAGGUCCCGAGCGUUGUCCGGAUUUAUUGGGCGUAAAGCGAGCGCAGGCGGUUAGAUAAGUCUGAAGUUAAAGGCAGUGGCUCAACCAUUGUAGGCUUUGGAAACUGUUUAACUUGAGUGCAGAAGGGGAGAGUGGAAUUCCAUGUGUAGCGGUGAAAUGCGUAGAUAUAUGGAGGAACACCGGUGGCGAAAGCGGCUCUCUGGUCUGUAACUGACGCUGAGGCUCGAAAGCGUAGGGAGCGAACAGGAUUAGAUACCCUGGUAGUCCACGCCGUAAACGAUGAGUGCUAGGUGUUAGGUCCUUUCCGGGACUUAGUGCCGCAGCUAACGCAUUAAGCACUCCGCCUGGGGAGUACGACCGCAAGGUUG